UCCUACGGGAGGCAGCAGUGGGGAAUAUUGCACAAUGGGCGCAAGCCUGAUGCAGCCAUGCCGCGUGUAUGAAGAAGGCCUUCGGGUUGUAAAGUACUUUCAGCGAGGAGGAAGGUGUUGUGGUUAAUAACCGCAGCAAUUGACGUUACUCGCAGAAGAAGCACCGGCUAACUCCGUGCCAGCAGCCGCGGUAAUA
rnacentral:rRNA from 1 species